rnacentral:rRNA from 1 species
UUGAACGCUGGUGCCUGCCUUACGCAUGCAAGUCGAACGGCAGCAUAGGAGCUUGCUCCUGAUGGCGAGUGGCGAACGGGUGAGUAAUAUAUCGGAACGUGCCCUAUGGUGGGGGAUAACUAGUCGAAAGAUUAGCUAAUACCGCAUACGAUCUACGGAUGAAAGUGGGGGAUCGCAAGACCUCAUGCUCGUGGAGUGGCCGAUAUCUGAUUAGCUAGUUGGUGGGGUAAAAGCUCACCAAGGCGACGAUCAGUAGCUGGUCUGAGAGGACGACCAGCCACACUGGGACUGAGACACGGCCCACACUCCUACGGGAGGCAGCAGUGGGGAAUUUUGGACAAUGGGGGCAACCCUGAUCCAGCAAUGCCGCGUGAGUGAAGAAGGCCUUCGGGUUGUAAAGCUCUUUUGUCAGGGAAGAAACGGUUGUGGCUAAUAUCCACGGCUAAUGACGGUACCUGAAGAAUAAGCACCGGCUAACUACGUGCCAGCAGCCGCGGUAAUACGUAGGGUGCGAGCGUUAAUCGGAAUUACUGGGCGUAAAGCGUGCGCAGGCUGUUUUGUAAGACAGAUGUGAAAUCCCCGGGCUCAACCUGGGAACUGCAUUUGUGACUGCAAGGCUAGAGUGUGUCAGAGGGGGGUAGAAUUCCACGUGUAGCAGUGAAAUGCGUAGAUAUGUGGAGGAAUACCGAUGGCGAAGGGCAGCCCCCCUGGGAUAACACUGACGCUCAUGCACGAAAGCGUGGGGAGCAAACAGGAUUAGAUACCCUGGUAGUCCACGCCCCUAAACGAUGUCAACUAGUUGUUGGGACUUAAUUGUCUUGGUAACGCAGCUAACGCGUGAAGUUGACCGCCUGGGGAGUACGGUCGCAAGAUUAAAACUCAAAGGAAUUGACGGGGACCCGCACAAGCGGUGGAUGAUGUGGAUUAAUUUGAUGCAACGCGAAAAACCUUACCUACGCUUGACAUGUACGGAAUCUUGAAGAGAUUUGGGAGUGCUCGAAAGAGAGCCGUAACACAGGUGCUGCAUGGCUGUCGUCAGCUCGUGUCGUGAGAUGUUGGGUUAAGUCCCGCAACGAGCGCAACCCUUGUCAUUAGUUGCUACGAAAGGGCACUCUAAUGAGACUGCCGGUGACAAACCGGAGGAAGGUGGGGAUGACGUCAAGUCCUCAUGGCCCUUAUGCGUAGGGCUUCACACGUCAUACAAUGGUACAUACAGAGGGUUGCCAACCCGCGAGGGGGAGCUAAUCUCAGAAAGUGUAUCGUAGUCCGGAUUGAAGUCUGCAACUCGACUUCAUGAAGUGGAAUCGCUAGUAAUCGCGGAUCAGCAUGUCGCGGUGAAUACGUUCCCGGGUCU